CCUACGGGCGGCUGCAGUGAGGAAUAUUGCACAAUGGACGCAAGUCUGAACCAGCCAUGCCGCGUGCAGGAUGACGGCCCUAUGAGUUGUAAACUGCUCCUGUACGAAGGUAAACCCAGAUACGUGUAUCGGGUGGAAAGGACCGUACGAAUAAGGAUCGGCGAACUCCGUGCCAGCAGCCGCGGUAAGACGGAGGAGCCGAGGGUUAUCCGGAUUGAUUUGGUUUAAAGGGUGCGUAGGCGGUUUGACAAGUUAGAGGUGAAAUGUCGGGGCUCAACCCCGAAACUGCCUCUAAUACUGUUGGACUUGAGACUCGUUGCGGUAGGCGGAAUGUAUGGUGUAGCGGUGAAAUGCUUAGAGAUCAUACAGAACACCGGUUGCGAAGGCGGCUUACCAAACUAUGUCUGACGUUGAGGCACGAAAGCGUGGGUAGCAAACAGGAUUAGAUACCCUUGUAGUC
rnacentral:rRNA from 1 species